rnacentral:rRNA from 1 species
GACGAACGCUGGCGGCGUGCUUAACACAUGCAAGUCGAACGGAAAGGCCCUGCUUUUGUGGGGUGCUGGAGUGGCGAACGGGUGAGUAACACGUGAGUAACCUGCCCUUGACUUUGGGGUAACUUCAGGAAAGUGGGGCUAAUACCGGAUAGGAGCCCCUGCUGCAUGGGGGGGGUGGGAAAGUCUCGGCUGUUGGGGAUGGACUCGCGGCUUAUGAGCUUGUUGGUGGGGGAGUGGCUUACCAACGCUUUGACGGGUAGCCGGCCUGAGAGGGUGACCGGCCUCAUUACGACUGCGAUACGGCCCAGACUCCUACGGUAGGCAGCAGUCGGGAAUAUUGCACAGUGAGCGGAAGCCUGAUGCAGCAACGCCGCGUUCGGGAUGACGGCCUUCGGGUUGUAAACCGCUUUCGCCUGUGACGAAGCGUGAGUGACGGUACUGAGUAAAGAAGCACCGGCUAACUACGUG